rnacentral:rRNA from 1 species
UACAGAGGGUGCAAGCGUUAAUCGGAAUUACUGGGCGUAAAGCGCACGUAGGUGGCGACGUAAGUCGGGUGUGAAAGCCCCGGGCUCAACCUGGGAAUUGCAUUCGAGACUGCAUUGCUGGAGUACGGAAGAGGAGGGCGGAAUUCCCGGUGUAGCGGUGAAAUGCGUAGAUAUCGGGAGGAACAUCAGUGGCGAAGGCGGCUAUCUGGACGGUUUCUGACACUAAGACUCGAAAGCGUGGGGAGCAAACAGG